rnacentral:rRNA from 1 species
CCUACGGGAGGCAGCAGUGGGGAAUAUUGCACAAUGGGGGAAACCCUGAUGCAGCGACGCCGCGUGAGCGAUUGAGUAUCUCGGUAUUGAAAGCUCUAUCAGCAGGGAAGAAAAUGACGGUACCUGACUAAGAAGCCCCGGCUAACUACGAGCCAGCAGCAGCGGUAAUACGUAGGGGGCAAGCGUUAUCCGUAUUUACUGGGUGUAAAGGGAGCGUAGACGGUGCUGCUAGCCAGAUGUGAAAGCCCGGGGCUCAACCCCGGGACUGCACUUGAAACUGUAAGUCUAGAGUAUCGGAGAGGCAGGCGGAAUUCCUGGUGUAGCGGUGAAAUGCGUAGAUAUUAGGAGGAACACCAGUGGCGAAGGCGGGCUGCUGGACGAUAACUGACGUUGAGGCACGAAGGCGUGGGGAGCGAAAAGGAUUAGAUACCCCGGUAGUC